AAGUUGUGGUGAGGACAGGCUAACACAUAAUCGUUGAAUCUCUCAUAGGCUUCAGCAAAUGUCUCAGUGGGGUACUGCGCAAAUGUUGAAAUCUUGUUCCGCAAAGCU